rnacentral:rRNA from 1 species
AACGUAGGGGGCGAGCGUUGUCCGGAUUCACUGGGCGUAAAGGGCAAGUAGGCGGUCGUUUAAGUUGGGCGUGACAGUUCUCGGCUCAACCGAGAGAGGACGUCCAAUACUAAGCGACUAGAGGGCAGGAGAGGGAAGUGGAAUUCCCAAAGUAGCGGUGGAAUGCUCAGAGAUUGGGAGGAACACCAGUGGCGAAGGCGGCUUCCUGGCCUGCACCUGACGCUGAGAGGCGAAAGCUAGGGGAGCGAACGGG